GUGAGGAAUAUUGGUCAAUGGGCGCAGGCCUGAACCAGCCAAGUAGCGUGAAGGAUGACUGCCCUAUGGGUUGUAAACUUCUUUUAUAUGGGAAUAAAGUGCAGGACGUGUCCUGUUUUGUAUGUACCAUAUGAAUAAGGAUCGGCUAACUCCGUGCCAGCAGCCGCGGUAAUACGGAGGAUCCGAGCGUUAUCCGGAUUUAUUGGGUUUAAAGGGAGCGUAGGCGGGUGCUUAAGUCAGUUGUGAAAGUUUGCGGCUCAACCGUAAAAUUGCAGUUGAUACUGGGUACCUUGAGUGCAGUAGAGGUAGGCGGAAUUCGUGGUGUAGCGGUGAAAUGCUUAGAUAUCACGAAGAACUCCGAUUGCGAAGGCAGCUUGCUGGACUGUAACUGACGCUGAUGCUCGAAAGUGUGGGUAUCAAACAGGAUUAGAAACCCUAGUAGUCC
rnacentral:rRNA from 1 species